UUACCAUGCAGUCGAGCGGAACGAUGAUAGCUUGCUAUCAGGCGUCGAGCGGCGGACGGGUGAGUAAUACUUAGGAAUCUACCUAGUAGUGGGGGAUAGCACGGGGAAACUCGUAUUAAUACCGCAUACGACCUACGGGAGAAAGGGGGCAGUUUACUGCUCUCGCUAUUAGAUGAGCCUAAGUCGGAUUAGCUAGAUGGUGGGGUAAAGGCCUACCAUGGCGACGAUCUGUAGCUGGUCUGAGAGGAUGAUCAGCCACACCGGGACUGAGACACGGCCCGGACUCCUACGGGAGGCAGCAGUGGGGAAUAUUGGACAAUGGGGGAAACCCUGAUCCAGCCAUGCCGCGUGUGUGAAGAAGGCCUUUUGGUUGUAAAGCACUUUAAGCAGUGAAGAAGACUCCGUGGUUAAUACCCACGGACGAUGACAUUAGCUGCAGAAUAAGCACCGGCUAACUCUGUGCCAGCAGCCGCGGUAAUACAGAGGGUGCAAGCGUUAAUCGGAAUUACUGGGCGUAAAGGGAGCGUAGGUGGCUCGAUAAGUCAGAUGUGAAAUCCCCGGGCUCAACCUGGGAACUGCAUCUGAUACUGUUGAGCUAGAGUAUGUGAGAGGAAGGUAGAAUUCCAGGUGUAGCGGUGAAAUGCGUAGAGAUCUGGAGGAAUACCGAUGGCGAAGGCAGCCUUCUGGCAUAAUACUGACACUGAGGCUCGAAAGCGUGGGUAGCAAACAGGAUUAGAUACCCUGGUAGUCCACGCCGUAAACGAUGUCUACUAGUCGUUGGGUCCCUUGAGGACUUAGUGACGCAGCUAACGCAAUAAGUAGACCGCCUGGGGAGUACGGCCGCAAGGUUAAAACUCAAAUGAAUUGACGGGGGCCCGCACAAGCGGUGGAGCAUGUGGUUUAAUUCGAUGCAACGCGAAGAACCUUACCUGGUCUUGACAUAUCUAGAAUCCUGCAGAGAUGCGG
rnacentral:rRNA from 1 species